rnacentral:misc_RNA from 1 species
GUGAAUCAUCGAAUUUUUGAACGCAAAUUGCACUCUCCUCGGAGGGUAUGCCUGUUUGAGGGUCAGCCUAAAAAAAAUCGCCAUAGUCGCUGUUUCGCGGUGACAUCCGUCGGAAAUUGGGUCAUCUUAAACCUUUGGGUUUUAAGCGGCUUAAAAUUUUCUUUCCGAUUCAACGAACGUUUCAAAGAUUUAUUCCUUACACGUUUAAGGUAUU